UGUACCCCUGCUGCUGUUGGAUGGCAUGUCUGGACGCGGUUAUGCAGUCCUGCGUAGGUGCCUGCGUAUUCAAAGACGCGGUCAGCUCUUCCAGACGGACUUUGCCCGGCACCCAGCUCAGAGCCCAGAACACAGAAGGAGUCUGGGAAGGCUCCAGGAGACCAGAAGUCAGACGCUAACCCCACAGACCUUGACAGCGGCCUCCAUGUGCCGCAAUGUCCAUUCAUCAAGAACUCACUUUGCUAUUAUUUUCUUCUCUUAAUUCCCCACGUGUUAAUGAGAAACACUCCAGGAGAAUCUUCUCAGAUAUCUGUGGAUCUCUUCAGCCACCACUGCCUGUCUGCUCAGACCUGAGAACACACUGGGUGAAAGCAGGUACCACAUCAGUGAGGUCCC